UCUCCCUCCACACCCAGCCCUGGGGAAGCGGGAAAGACAGAUGCGCCAGGCGCAGCGGAGCACUGCAUGUUUACGUGCGGAGGGAGGCGGCGAGAAGCACAAGCAGAGAGCGAGACAGCCCACGGUUAAGGGAGUGGAAGCCCAAGGAAGCGGUUAGGGGACAGGGAGAGCCGCAACUGGUUGCUGGGAUUGUGACCACUCGCCCACCCCGACGGGGUCCCGUGCCUUCACGUUACAAGGAGAACAGCAACAGCAACAGUGAUAGAAGAACUAUGAACAUGGAGAAGCUUUCCCUUCCCCAAGCUGUGCAAGCAUCACAGGACUUGUUCAUCCCCUCCACAUGUGAAUUCUAAGCUAAAGGCAAUAGUGGUUAAGAGGAAGUGGGAGUAGAUCCCUAGCUACCAAACCCUAAAAGAGACACAGCUGUGAAACAAUCAAAACUGUUGUUGAAUUGCAUCAGAAUGGAGCAAAUACGCACUCUUGGUCUUGCCAAUUUAUUUGAACGUUCCAUUUCUGCUCCUUGCUGGGACUGCCAAAAUCAGACAGUUCUGUAUUGCCAAUGAGUGCCUGCAUUUCCAAAAGAAAAUCAUUGUCUGUGUGCCAAGACACUCCACGAAAAACAGUUUUACCCCUAAGUGUUCAGAAGAACAAAAACAUGUUUGAUUAUACAAAUUGGAUGACAGAGCCACAAGGAAGAAGACAUCUAUCUGACUCUCACUGCUGACUGAAUAGGUGCGUUGUAAAGUCUAGCUCUUCUCUAUAAUUUAAUAAAUUGUCACUGGGAUAUAAAUUGCAGUUUUCUAUCAAAUGCAGUGCUCUAGACUUGCAAAUUGUGAAACAGUUACUGACAAAUAACAAUGAUUGUGAGGCAACCAGAUGUUUUCUUGUACAUACAUGUAAUCAAAAUAAUUAUUUAAAAGCAAAUAUUAAGAUUUCUGGAGUCAUUCUCCCCCACACAUAAACAGUUUUUCAUUGCACCUUAAAAAUAUUUUGGUCAUGCAUGACACUCAUAUGAUCACUUUGCAACCUGCCACAACCCAACUUAAUAACUUUUCCUGUCAAAAUUGGGUAUUCAGGUGUCAAUAGAACUACAUGGCCAAGUAGUGAUGUAAACUGCCUCCAGUGUGCUGCUUUGAGCAUUAUAUGUAGGAAUGCUGAAAUGUUCAACAUGAAU